UGAGGAAUAUUGGUCAAUGGGCGAGAGCCUGAACCAGCCAAGUAGCGUGAAGGAUGACUGCCCUAUGGGUUGUAAACUUCUUUUAUAAAGGAAUAAAGUCGGGUAUGCAUACCCGUUUGCAUGUACUUUAUGAAUAAGGAUCGGCUAACUCCGUGCC
rnacentral:rRNA from 1 species